AAAUGGCAAGAAUGAUGAGACAAUUAGAUGUGUGAAGGGAUGUUCAAUUCCUUCAUGACCGUAAUAUCUGAGGCUUAUUGAUAUUCUGACUUGCCCACU